rnacentral:rRNA from 1 species
ACUCAAAGGAAUUGACGGGGACCCGCACAAGCGGUGGAACAUGUGGUUUAAUUCGAGGCAACGCGAAGAACCUUACCAGGCCUUGACAUGCCCCUCGCGGACUCCAGAAAAGGAGUCCUUCGGUUCGGCCGGAGGGAGCACAGGUGCUGCAUGGCUGUCGUCAGCUCGUGUCGUGAGAUGUUGGGUUAAGUCCCGCAACGAGCGCAACCCUCAUCCUCUGUUGCCAACAGGUAAAGCUGGGAACUCUGAGGAAACUGCCCGUGAUAAGCGGGAGGAAGGUGGGGAUGACGUCAAGUCCUCAUGGCCCUUACGGCCUGGGCUACACACGUGUUACAAUGGCGGUGACAAUGAGCUGCUAACCUGCAAGGGUAUGCGAAUCUCUAAAAGCCGCCUCAGUUCGGAUCGUACUCUGCAACUCGAGUACGUGAAGCUGGAAUCGCUAGUAAUCGUGGAUCAGCACGCCACGGUGAAUACGUUCCCGGGUCUUGUACACACCGCCCGU